AUCAAUUUUUUUUUAACAUCUUUAUUGGAUCUUGUCCUGGUGUGCUAGAGUCCUCGGAGAGAAUCUGCUGGUCUUGAUUCACUGGCGAGGGCAGUCAGUGCCCCCGGGAGUGCCCAGAUCAGAAACAUGC
ensembl:snoRNA small nucleolar RNA SNORA3/SNORA45 family